rnacentral:rRNA from 1 species
UGGGGAAUAUUGGACAAUGGGCGAAAGCCUGAUCCAGCCAUGCCGCGUGUGUGAAGAAGGUCUUCGGAUUGUAAAGCACUUUAAGUUGGGAGGAAGGGCAUUAACCUAAUACGUUAGUGUUUUGACGUUACCGACAGAAUAAGCACCGGCUAACUCUGUGCCAGCAGCCGCGGUAAUACAGAGGGUGCAAGCGUUAAUCGGAAUUACUGGGCGUAAAGCGCGCGUAGGUGGUUUGUUAAGUUGGAUGUGAAAUCCCCGGGCUCAACCUGGGAACUGCAUUCAAAACUGACUGACUAGAGUAUGGUAGAGGGUGGUGGAAUUUCCUGUGUAGCGGUGAAAUGCGUAGAUAUAGGAAGGAACACCAUUCGCGAAGGCGACCACCUGGACUAAUACUGACACUGAGGUGCGAAAGCGUGGGGAGCAAACA